rnacentral:rRNA from 1 species
UACAGAGGGGGCCAGCGUUAUUCGGAAUUAUUGGGCGUAAAGGGCUCGUAGGCGGUUUGUCGCGUCGGGAGUGAAAACCAUGAGCUUAACUCAUGGCUUGCUUUCGAUACGGGCAGACUAGAGGUAUGCAGGGGAGAACGGAAUUCCUGGUGUAGCGGUGAAAUGCGCAGAUAUCAGGAGGAACACCGGUGGCGAAGGCGGUUCUCUGGGCAUUACCUGACGCUGAGGAGCGAAAGUGUGGGGAGCGAACAGG